UCUAGCGAGUGCAUAUAUGGCCCGUACCCAUAACCGACACAGGUGGUCAGGUAGAGAAUACUAAGGCGAUCGGGUGAACUGUGGUUAAGGAACUCGGCAAAUUGCCCCCGUAACUUCGGGAGAAGGGAGACCAUUGCUGGUGACCGACGUGGUUGAGCUGGUGGUGGUCGCAGAGAAUAGAGGGAAGCGACUGUUUAUUAAAAACACAGGUCCGUGCGAAAACGUGGAAGUUGAUGUAUACGGACUGACGCCUGC
rnacentral:rRNA from 1 species